AGUGGAUGGGGAGCAACCUAGUUGUGCGUGUGUAAAGGUAGUGCCAAGAAAAGCGAUGAUCAUGUUGAAAAUCAAUUCCCGGUACCCGAAACCGACACAGGUGGGCAAGUAGAGAAUACUAAGGGGCGCGAGGUAACUCUCUCCAAGGAACUCGGCAAAAUGACCCCGUAACUUAGGGAGAAGGGGUGCCACCGAGAGGUGGUCGCAGUGAAGAGGCCCAGGCGACUGUUUAGCAAAAACAUAGGUCUCUGCAAACUCGAAAGAGGAGGUAUAGGGGCUGACGCCUGCCCAGUGCCGGAAGGUUAAAGAAGUUGGUCAGUUUUAGGAUGAAGCUAGCGACUGAAGCCCCGGUGAACGGCGGCCGUAACUAUAACGGUCCUAAGGUAGCGAAAUUCCUUGUCGGGUAAGUUCCGACCCGCACGAAAGGCGUAACGAUCUGGGCGCUGUCUCGGAGAGAGGCUCGGCGAAAUAGGAUUGUCUGUGAAGAUACGGACUACCUGCAUUUGGACAGAAAGACCCUAUGAAGCUUUACUAUAGCUUGGAAUUGUGUUCGGGCUUCCUGUGCGCAGGAUAGGUGGGAGGCGUAGAAGGUAUUCUUGUGGGGAUACUGGAGCCAACGGUGAGAUACCACUCUCAGGAGGCUAGAAUUCUAACUUAAUUAAGGACAGUUUCAGGUGGGUAGUUUGACUGGGGCGGUCGCCUCCAAAAAGGUAACGGAGGCGUACAAAGGUUCCCUCAGACUGGUUGGAAAUCAGUCGAAGAGUGCAAAGGCAGAAGGGAGCUUGACUGCGAGAAGUACAGUUCGAGCAGGGUGGAAACACGGUCUUAGUGAUCCGACGGUCUGUGUGGAAGGGCCGUCGCUCAACGGAUAAAAGUUACUCUAAGGAUAACAGGCUGAUCUCCCCCAAGAGUUCACAUCGACGGGGAGGUUUGGCACCUCGAUGUCGGCUCAUCGCAACCUGGGGCGGAAGUACGUCCCAAGGGUUGGGCUGUUCGCCCAUUAAAGCGGUACGUGAGCUGGGUUCAGAACGUCGUGAGACAGUUCGGUCCAUAUCCGAUGUAGGCGUGAGAAUAUUGAGAGGAGCCUUCCUUAGUACGAGAGGACCGGGAAGGACGCACCGCUGGUGUACCUGUUAUGAUGCCAAUUGUAAACGCAGGGUAGCCAAGUGCGGAGAGGAUAACCGCUGAAAGCAUCUAAGUGGGAAGCCCACCUCAAGAUGAGUAUUCUGGUGUAAGGUCACGGGAAGACGACCCGUAAAUAGGCACGAGGUGGAAGUGCAGAGAUGUAUGAAGCCGAAGUGUACUAAUAGACCGUCGGCUUGACC
rnacentral:rRNA from 1 species